rnacentral:rRNA from 1 species
UACAGAGGGUGCAAGCGUUAAUCGGAAUUACUGGGCGUAAAGGGCGCGUAGGUGGUUACGUAAGUGAGAUGUGAAAGCCCCGGGCUUAACCUGGGAAUUGCAUCUUAUACUGCGUAGCUGGAGUGCGAUAGAGGGUAGUGGAAUUUCCGGUGUAGCGGUGAAAUGCGUAGAUAUCGGAAGGAACACCAGUGGCGAAGGCGGCUACCUGGAUUGACACUGACACUGAGGCGCGAGAGCGUGGGGAGCAAACAGG